CAGGCAGGAAUCUGGGGAGGACCGUCUGACUUGCCAUUUGGAUCACAACUUCAUAUGGGAGACCGUGAGGGUGGAGAGGAGCAAAGGAACGUAAAAUGAGGAUUGCAUCUACACGGUUAUCCAUAAUCUGGGUCCUAUAUGUGACCCAGAGCAAGAGAUUCAUUGACAACACUGUACCGUACUAUACCCCAGUGUCCUUACCAGCAUUAACUGCUCAAACAUGUGAGCGAGUGGUAAAUAUGAAAUGUGUGAAUCACUGGCGUUCAAAUGAAGUACUUUCUGCAAAAAAGACAAUAACAGGGCAAACAUGCAAAAAAAAAAACCAAAACCCAUGAAACUUUGAAAGAAACUCAGUGCCUACCUCCACAACUCUCUCAAACAUAUGGGCAAGAGGCAAGAAAGAUAUCAAAAUGUCGUCUUGGCAAGGAGAUACCACUUUCUGCAAGCAAAGAAACCAGCAGGGCAGAGAAGCAAAAGACCAUUACGAUUUCCCGGCAUUUCCCACCCAUAUUUCCGAGCACAUAUUCCCUCAGCUUUCCGGAGGAAGAGGGCAUACUAGCUGGGCUGUAUGAUUUGAUUUCAUCAGGAUGGAGGAAGCUUCUGGCGAGGAAAACCCUCUUUACCACCGAAGAUGCAGCAGCAACUCCGGAGCGUCAGGGAUGUCCAGGAACAAAGAGAUAUUAAAUCUCUUGGCCAGGAUUAUAGAAGCAACCCAUGGCAUAAAAAAGAUUUGAACCUAAUAUUUUCCUGCCAAGAUUAGCUGACUAACCACUGAGCCACACUCCUUCCUCUUAUGUAUCGAUUACUGACAAGCAAUCAGUAUCAAAGAAUGGUAUUAAAGGAGUAAACUGAAAGCAGGUAAUUUGA